GUGAACGCUGGCGGUAGGCCUAACACAUGCAAGUCGAACGGCAGCACAGAGGAGCUUGCUCCUUGGGUGGCGAGUGGCGGACGGGUGAGGAAUACAUCGGAAUCUACCCUGUCGUGGGGGAUAACGUAGGGAAACUUACGCUAAUACCACAUACGACCUUCGGGGGAAAGAGGGGGCUCGCAAGACAUCUCGCGAUUGGAUGAGCCGAUGUCGGAUUAGCUAGUUGGCGGGGUAAAAGCCCACCAAGGCGACGAUCCGUAGCUGGUCUGAGAGGAUGAUCAGCCACACUGGAACUGAGACACGGUCCAGACUCCUACGGGAGGCAGCAGUGGGGAAUAUUGGACAAUGGGCGCAAGCCUGAUCCAGCCAUACCGCGUGGGUGAAGAAGGCCUUCGGGUUGUAAAGCCCUUUUGUUGGGAAAGAAAAGCGACCGGCUAAUACCCGGUUGUUCUGACGGUACCCAAAGAAUAAGCACCGGCUAACUUCGUGCCAGCCGCCGCCGUAAGAC
rnacentral:rRNA from 1 species